UACGAAGGGGCCUAGCGUUGCUCGGAAUCACUGGGCGUAAAGGGUGCGUAGGCGGGUCUUUAAGUCAGGGGUGAAAUCCUGGAGCUCAACUCCAGAACUGCCUUUGAUACUGAGGAUCUUGAGUCCGGGAGAGGUGAGUGGAACUGCGAGUGUAGAGGUGAAAUUCGUAGAUAUUCGCAAGAACACCAGUGGCGAAGGCGGCUCACUGGCCCGGUACUGACGCUGAGGCACGAAAGCGUGGGGAGCAAACAGG
rnacentral:rRNA from 1 species